GGCUCAUUAAAUCAGUUAUCGUUUAUUUGAUAGUACCUUACUACUUGGAUAACCGUGGUAAUUCUAGAGCUAAUACAUGCUGAAAACCCCAACUUCGGGAGGGGUGUAUUUAUUAGAUAAAAAACCAACGCCCUUCGGGGCUUCUUGGUGAUUCAUGAUAACUUUACGGAUCGCAUGGCCUUGCGCCGGCGACGGUUCAUUCAAAUUUCUGCCCUAUCAACUUUCGAUGGUAAGGUAUUGGCUUACCAUGGUUUCAACGGGUAACGGGGAAUUAGGGUUCGAUUCCGGAGAGGGAGCCUGAGAAACGGCUACCACAUCCAAGGAAGGCAGCAGGCGCGCAAAUUACCCAAUCCCGACACGGGGAGGUAGUGACAAUAAAUACUGAUACAGGGCUCUUUUGGGUCUUGUAAUUGGAAUGAGUACAAUUUAAACCUCUUAACGAGGAACAAUUGGAGGGCAAGUCUGGUGCCAGCAGCCGCGGUAAUUCCAGCUCCAAUAGCGUAUAUUAAAGUUGUUGCAGUUAAAAAGCUCGUAGUUGAACCUUGGGUCUGGCUGGCAGGUCCGCCUCACCGCGUGUACUUGUCCGGCCGGGCCUUCCUUCUGGAGAACCUCAUGCCCUUCACUGGGCGUGUUGGGGACCAGGACUUUUACUUUGAAAAAAUUAGAGUGUUCAAAGCAGGCCUUUGCUCGAAUACGUUAGCAUGGAAUAAUAGAAUAGGACGUGCGGUCCUAUUUUGUUGGUUUCUAGGACCGCCGUAAUGAUUAAUAGGGACAGUCGGGGGCAUCAGUAUUCAAUUGUCAGAGGUGAAAUUCUUGGAUUUAUUGAAGACUAACUACUGCGAAAGCAUUUGCCAAGGAUGUUUUCAUUAAUCAGUGAACGAAAGUUAGGGGAUCGAAGACGAUCAGAUACCGUCGUAGUCUUAACCGUAAACUAUGCCGACUAGGGAUCGGGCGAUGUUCUUUUUCUGACUC
rnacentral:rRNA from 1 species